CGAUGAAUGCUAGGUGUUGGUGGGCAAAGCCCAUCGGGGCCGCCGCAAACGCAAUAAGCAUUCCACCUGGGGAGUACGUUCGCAAGAAUGAAACUCAAAAGAAUUGACGGGGACCCGCACAAGCGGUGGAGCAUGUGGUUUAAUUUGAAGCAACGCGAAGAACCUUACCAAGUCUUGACAUCCCUGUGCAUGCAGGGUAAUGCCUGCAGUCCUUCGGGACAAAGAAGACAGGUGGUGCAUGGUUGUCGUCAGCUCGUGUCGUGAGAUGUUGGGUUAAGUCCCGCAACGAGCGCAACCCUUAUCCUUAGUAGCCAGCAGGUAAAGCUGGGCACUCUGGGGAGACUCCCAGGGAUAACCAGGAGGAAGGUGGGGAGGACGUCAAAUCAUCAUGCCCCUUAUGAUUCGGGAUACACACGUGGUACAAUGGCGUAAACAAAGGGAGGCGAAGGGGCAACCUGGAGCAAACCCCAAAAAUAACGUCCCAGUUCGGAUUGUGGUCUGCAACCUGACCACAGGA
rnacentral:rRNA from 1 species